rnacentral:rRNA from 1 species
AAUAUUGGACAAUGGGCGAAAGCCUGAUCCAGCCAUGCCGCGUGUGUUAAGAAGGUCUNAGGAUUNUNAAGCACUUUAAGUUGGGNAGAAGGGCAGUAAGUUAAUACCUUGCUGUUUUGACGUUACCGACAGAAUAAGCACCGGCUAACUUCGUGCCAUCAGCCGCGGUAAUACGAAUGGUCCAAGCGUUAAUCGGAAUUACUGGGAGUAAAGGGCGCGUAGGUGGUUCGUUAAGUUGGAAGUGAAAGCCCCGGGCUUAACCUGGGAACUGCUUUCAAAACUGGCAAGCUAGAGUAUGGCAGAGGGUGGUGGAAUUUCCUGUGUAGCGGUGAAAUGCGUAGAUAUAGGAAGGAACAUCAGUGGCGAAGGCGACUACCUGGACUGAUACUGACACUGAGGUGCGAAAGCGUGGGGAGCAAACAGG